rnacentral:lncRNA from 1 species
GAAAAUAACUUCUGGACCUAUCCCACAACCAAGCAGCUUGUAUUUGAGCCGAAAUUUAGUUUAACUUGUAAUUGUGAUGAGAGGCUUCGUUCUGGCCAUUCAGGCUCGCCGAGAAGUAAUCUGCCGGAAUCAAACCUCCCUAGAAUCAUCUAAUUGGAAUACAAUACAUGGCUUACAGCAAUGGAAUCCAAAACCAACAUAAUUACAUAAAAAGAUCCGUCAACUAACAGAUCUCACAAUAUCUAAUAACAUCCGUUUAUCAGCAAAUAUUAAUGCAAAUGCCAACAAUUUAAAUGAUAAUCUCAUCCUCAGCUCAUAGAAUUUGAACUACCAUAACAUUAAUAACGAGGCAAUAAUCAGUGCAGAAGAGACUUUGGUAUCAUAAGGAUGACUGGUAAAAGUAAGCAGGAACGAAUCGGAGGUGUCGGGAAUUGUUUAGUAGGAUGACAACGUUUGUGCAUAAGUGGACAGAUAUUACCAACUAUAUCAAACAAAGUUUUGAUUCGUGGUUGGAUCUUUCGGUUGGAGCUUUAAAAUUGUGAUCAAGUAUUGUAAUUUAUAUUUUACAAUCAACAGAUAAAAUAAAUUUGCUCCCUUUAAAGUCGAUUGAAAACAAUUUGGAGUAAUUUGAGAUUGAUUGAACAACUCCACAGAUUGUAAGCAUCGUCCACUAGCAUCAUCAAUCAAUUACCAAGUUCCAACAAAGAUAAUUUAUAGUGUUUACAAAAUUAGAUAAAACCCAUAUUGAUUUGAGACAAUUUGAGCAAGAAGCUAAUUAAUUGUGCAAGUGAUUAUAUGUUCCCUGUGUGAGUGGCAGGCUUUAUUUAGCAUUAUUAGAUUGAUGAAAUCAGUUGAAAUAGAUUAAUACCUUUGGCGAUGAGAUAUCGAUGCGGCCGCAGUUGUCCAGAAUCCAUGUCCGACUGUUUGCAGUUGGGGGCGAGCGAAAAUAAGAGACAAAACAACAAGAAAGGACAGAGGACGCACACCACACACCGGAGGGGAGACCCUGGGCAAAAAUAAACCCCAUGCUGUCUCCCCUCUGAACCAAAAAUCGUUAUUUUUUUAUUGAGAUAUUUUUUUGACCUGCCAUGCAAGCGCACCUGCCAUGGCAAAGGCCGGAUGACAAAGAUCGGUCCAGCACUCGGCCCUUCCACCGAGCCUUUCGUCCCGAUAUCUUAUACAUCCAUCCGAAAUCAACCCAUAACCCCAACCCAAAUCCCACGAUAUAAAAGCUUCAGUCUCAUGAAAUUACAACCAUGAACCAUGACCCUUUGGUUAAGAUUAAACAUGCUUCGGCCACCACGAGAUCGAAUUGGAUCAGCUGCUGAAACGCCGCCGGAUACUUGUAAUCUCCUCCGAUUUGGUUAGAGCUCCGUCUGCGAAAUCUGUUUGGACGCCAAAACACACAUCAAUCAAAAUCUAUACGGAGCAGAAACACUAAAGCUAAAAUUCGUUGCAAAUUAAUAAAAUUUAAACAAAAAAGCAAAAACAAUAACGAUUUGAUACAAAAGUUCAUAUCCAGAUUAGUAAAACGAAUCGAAAACAUAUACGUACCUGUAAAUUCGAAUCGAAGAGCGACGAACACAGAAGCUCGGGCUGGUAAAACCAGCUGAAUUCAAAAGCAGCUCAAACCAUCACCUCACAAUCUCAAACCACCAUCAACACGUAGAUCUCCAUACGAUCGACGCGAAUCCGAUGGUGAUCGACAUAGAAAACAAUCCAUGGAGCGCAAAUCUGGAGAAGAACUCCUGAGGCGCAUGAAGUUGUGAGAGGCGAGAGAGAAUAUUUGGUGGCGUGAACCUUGAAUGGUUGAUAAGCAGGCACCCUAACGUACUUAUAAGAGGAUAAAAAUUGGGUAGACGGCUGCGAUUUCUUAAUUAUCAUCGUGAUCGACGGCUGGUGUUGAUCAUGUGGUUCGGUAGAUUUGGCGGUGGCGUAACCAUACACGUACCCUGAUGAGCUGGAGACAGAGAAAGCACACCCCAUUUUAUUGACCAUAUCAAACACGACAUGUAGUUUUUUUGGCCGCCUCGAUAGGUUGUUUGGUGGGAAUCGGAUUCAAUUUUUAUGCAAAUAUCUAUUUUGUCGAGAUAGAAUUCACGACCAUAUCUGGAUUCUAUCUUUAUUAGAAAGAUAAUACAAAUUAUGGUAUAAAUAAACUAUAAAAAUAACAUUUUUAUUUUAUUACUAUAAUUUUGGUUGGUUCUAGAUUAUUCGAUAUAUAUGGGCUAAUGGUUUCUUCAUUGUUGGGCCUUAAGAAUAUACAGAUAUUUUGAUAUAAGUACGCAUUAUUUUUUAAUUUUUUUAAUCAAAUAUCCAUGUCUUUUAGUAAUUUGAUUAAACUUUUUUUUGUCAUAAUAUUGGUGCUAUAUGCACAUUAUAUUGUAACAAAUUUCAUAUAAUCUAGCUUUUUGAUUACACUCUUCUUCGUUAGAGAUAAUUGUAAAAAUAAAAAAAAGUUGGUUAGAUUCAAUUUAUUUUCACAAUAAUGUUACAAUUUAGCAAUAAUUAUCUACGAUUUAAGAUAUUUUCUUUUCAAAAUAGUUUAAAUAUUUUUAAUCCCCAAAAAUCAAACAUACCGAAAUAAGUUUUUCUUUUAGUACAUUAAGAGAAAAUAGGAUUGAGAAUAAUAUAAACGUACCAAUAUAAAAAAUAAAAAUAAUGUACCAAUAUUAAUAAUAUGUAUCAAAUCAAACAUACAGAAAUUGCAAAUAAACAUAUCAAUUAAUGAUUUUUGUAAAUUCAAAUGUACCCUCAGAUAAUAUAUAUAUGUAAUGUAUCGUACCUAAUAAUAAUUCGUCAACAACUAUACUUAAAAAACAACCAAAAAUAUAUAUAUAAUUUCACAAAAAAAUUGAAAAAAUUACACGGAGCUUUUUAUGUUGAUCACCAACUAUUUGAAAAAGAAAAAACCAUUUGAAAAUUUAAAUAAUAUUAAAUGUUUGCAUAACAAAAAAAAAAUUGUGAUCGAAAAAACAUAUUUGGAAGAAGAAAAAAUAUAGUUUAAUUACUAAUAUUUCCACUAAAUAAGAAAAAGUGCAUCAUACAGAUAAAAUGAUAAAUUCAAAAAAUAUUUUAAUUUUAAAGAAUAGAGGUAACCAUUGGUCAAAGCACUUUAAUCAAAUUUUAAAAAGACAUAGAUGUUUAAUCCAAAUUAUAUAGAAAAACUAUAGGGAAUUCUAAUUUUCCCAAUAAUAUAUUGGGCCAUUGGUUUUUUGUCAAAGGAUAGAAUUGUAUUAAUAAUCAAAUACGAAUGGAAACAUUUGCAUCUUCAGCUAUAAUAUUAAACAAAAAUUGAGGUCCUAAUUCAUCCCAACCAUAGCGCCCACCAUGCUUAAGAACGUACGCCACCACCAUAUGGGUUGCAUGUCGAGGGGUAAAGAUAAACUUCACCAAUUGGAAUGACUGCAUAAUAUUCCAAAUAUCAACUAAAUAAACCUCCAUCAACACAUCAACUUGAAUCUCCUUAUUUAACAUUUGAACCAAUCCUUUUGAAUCAGACUCCACCUUCGGGUCGAAUUCAAGAAUUCAGCUUUGUAUUUUUAACUUUCGGUCUGAUGAUAUUUCGUUUUACUUGAAAGUUAGAGGUCUUACGUUCGAUUCGUUCGAAUAUCGUGGAUGGUGAAUUCAAUAUCAAAUUGGAUUACCCAUUAUGUAACUUUGCCAAACUCCACCUCCUAUUAUUGUCAAAAUAUCGAUGUAGUAAAAAAAAAUUUUAAACCUAUCAUUAUCACCAUCAACCUUAUUAUUUGACAAACUAUUGUAUUUUGUUUUUUUUUUUAAUAAUUUUGAAAUUAAUUUUGUACAAUCUAUCUUAUUUUUAUGUGUACAUACAUUUUGAUGUAAAUAAUUCAUUUCAUGCAAAGAGGAUCUGCAUGAGAAGAAGAGCCGUAUAGAAUUGUAAAGAGAGAGAGCCUGCGAGUGAGCUUUGAGGGUACACUUCGAGGCCCAACUUUUUUUUUCCAAUCCUUGUUCAGUUGAAAUUUACCUAUUUAUUUGACUGUUAAAAAUAGAAUUGAAUAGACAAGAAUUAGUUAAGCUUUGUAAGACAAGACAUUAAUGCAUGUCUAACGAGCGGCUAUAUAACUCACGUUUUUGUGAAUUUAUAAUCCAUCAUAUUUAGCUCAUAUAUUUUUUUUACAACUCAAGUCUAUUUUAAUUAAUCACAACCUAUCCUAACCAAUCCACCAAACAUACCCAAUGCCCACACACCCUAUUAAAUUAAAUGUUAAACUAGUCACCGAUGAAAUUUAAAUAUAAAGACUCAGCAUCUUUCCAACACUAUAAUACAAGACCACUUGCUAAAAUAACAUUAAAAAACAAUUUGUACAAGACCACUUGCUAGAAUAACAUUAAAAAACAAUUUGUUUUGAAUGUAAAGACUCAAAAUCUUUCCACCACGGUAAUACAAGACCACUUGCUAGAACAACAUUAAAAAACAAUUUGUUGUAAAUGGUGAGACGGAUACCAAUUUAUUUUUCCAAUUUGCUGUAAAAUAUAAUUUUGCAUUAAAAAAAGGGUAAAUUACAUAGUAACCCCUCAGAUUUGAGGUCUAUUACAACCUCAUACAACAUCUUUAAAACAUUUCACUUUCAUACUUCACGUACUAUUUUAUUACAAUCUCAUACAAUCUCUUUAAAACAUUUCACUUUCAUACCUUAUGUAUUAUUUUAUUUCAACAUAAUACCUCUGUUAGAUUUUUCAUCCAUUAAUCCGUUAAAUCCUGACGUGGCUGCCACAUUUGUGCUGAUGUGGCUGCCAUGUGGCAAUUUUUUUUUUUUUUUUAUAUGUACAUUAAAAAUAUUAUAAUAUUAACCCUAUUAAAAAAAAAGAAACUCAAACCCAAAAAUCCUUCCCCGCAACACCACAUCCCACCCCCACCCCUUACCCAUCUCUUCCUUCCCGUCCCUCCAUCCCCUCCACCCGAGCACCCCUCAGCUCGGGUCCCACCUUGACCUCUCUCUCUCUCUCCCCCUCCCUCUCUCUCUCUUCUGUAAAAUGUGGAAUGGUUUUUGAGGUCUAGUGCCUCGCCUCCCUCCCUCCUCCUGGACCCUUCCAACCUCGACCUCUCCUGCCUCGCCUCCCUCAACCUCCUGUCAUGUAUAUUAUAAUAUUAUAAUAUUUUUAAUGUAUAAAAAAUUAUUAUUUUUACCACAUGGCAGCCACAGCAGCACAAAUGGGCUGUCAUGUCAACAUUUAACGGAUUAAUAGAUGAAAAAUCUAACCGAUGUAUUAUGUUGAAAUAAAAUAAUACAUGGAGGUAUGAAAGUGAAAUAUUUUAAAAAGAUUGUAUGAGAUUGUAAUAAAUUUCAAACCUGAGGUGUUACCAUAUAAUUUACCCAAAAAAACCAAAACAACAAAACAGACAGCAAAAAGGUAAACAGAAUGCAUACCGAAAAAUCACCAAACAACAUCAAAUCAUAUAACGAAAAAUUCAUAGCAAAUCUGGAUGGAUUCGAACCACCAACCUCUCAAAAGCCCAGUCAAGGACCUUGAGCGCUCUACCAUUUUUGAGCUUACAGAUCUUCAUUUCAAGCAACGAGCAGGAGGCCGAAAUCGAUCAACAAAGUUUAACUUCUGAAUUUUCCAGCUUAAUUCUUUUCAGUAAGAAAUUUACAGUACAAGCAACUACUUGUCGACUUACGUUAUGUACAUAUGGUACAUCUAUUUAAAUGGGGGUAGUAGUCUACCAAAAAAAAAAAUCUAAGUUAAGCCCCGCAAUAAACCAACAAUAAUGUUGAGCCUUUGCAUAAUGAUGUUAGUUCAAAUCCCACAGUAAUCAACUUGGAGUCAAUUUAAGGCAAUUUAAGGCAAUUCAAGGCAAGCAUCCUUCCAUGAUGAAAAAAUGUUGAGCCUUUACAUAAUGAUGUUAGUUCAAAUCCCGUCGGUGACCAACCUAAAAUUUAAUCUUACAAAAUCUAUUACUUGACCAAAAUAAAAUAUAAUUUUAAGGUCCCCCAAAAAUUUAGGGCAUCCCUUUUCUCGUCUGAUAUAUAGAUCCAAAAAUUAACUUCUCCGAAGGCAUAAAAAAUACAAGUGUUCUAAGCAGAGCAACUAUUCCCCUCAAAAUUAACUUCUCCGAGGGCAUAAAAAAACAAGUGUUCCAAGCAAAGCAACUAUUCCCCAGCCCAAAAACAAAUUAUGCUGUUUCAAUUUUACAAUUAACUUGCAGUAACAAAUGAUUCCUGCAAAUUUUUAGCUUUAAGAUUUAUUUGGAUUUACUUUUAAAAUGAUUGAAAAAUGACUAAGAAUUGGUUCUAAAAAAUGACUAAAAAUACUUUCAGAAAAAAUAUUUUUUUGUUCCAAAAACACUUGAAAUACUUUCCGGAACAAGCACAUAUUGUGCUUCUUACAGGAAGCAAUUUAAAUGUAAAUGUUUUUUUUUCAGAAUUUACUUACAUUUUUACUACGAAUUGGUUACAAAAACAUUUUCACCAAAAACGCUUUCAAUCAUUUUAAAACCACAUCCAAACGAGCUUAGUUAAAGAGGUUGCAUCAUAUAAAGGAAGACAUCAUGAACUAAACGCCACCUUCUGUAAGUAAUAGUAAAUAGAAACUACAUAAUACAAACAUUGAACAACUACGCGGAGCUGUUUGAAAAAUAACCAAAAUCAUAACCCCUAAUUGUGAAUCGGGCAAUAUCAACAGACCACAAUUUGAUCUAUCAUCCAAGUACUAUAAAAACAACCCCAGUUUAACGAUAAUUCCUCCGCAAUUCCAUACAAACAACAAAACCAAGGGAAUAUAUUCAAUCUAAACUCUUUUAACAAAUGAAUAGAAUAAAUAAAUGAUAAUGCCAACACCUAUGAAUGAUCAAUCGCAAUGACUUGAAUCACAAAACGUAAAUUAACCGAAAACAUUACUUGCCAAUACUUCAAAAGCUUCUUGUAAAUUAACAGAAAACAUUACUUGCCAAUACUUAAAAGCUUUAGUUUCAUUGGUCACCUCAAAUCCUCAGAAAAGAGGUUGUCACGAAAAGAACUUCUGGACCUAUCCCACAACCAAGCAGCUUGUAUUUGAGCCGAAAUUUAGUUUAACUUGUAAUUGUGAUGAGAGGCUUCGUUCUGGCCAUUCGGGCUCGUCGAGCAGUAAUCUUCCGGCAUCAAAUCUCCCUAGAAUCAUCUAAUUGGAAUACAAUGCAUGGCUUACAGCAAUGGAAUCCAAAACCAACAUAAUUACAUAAUAUUACAAAGAUCCAUCAACUAACAGAUCUCACAAUAUCUAAUAACAUCCGUUAUAAACAAAUAUUAAGGCAAAGGCCAACAAUUUAGAUGAUAAUCUCAUCCUCAGCUCAUAGAAUUUGUACUACCAUAACAUUAAUAACGAGGCAAUAAACAGUGCAGAAGAGACUUUGGUAUCAUAAGAAUGACUUGUAAAAGUAAGCAGGAACGAAUCGGAGGUUUCGAGAAUUGUUUAGAAGGAUGAUAUAAGUACGUUUGUGCAUAAGUAGACAGAGAAAUUACCAACUAUAUCAAACAAAGUUUUGAUUCCAAAUUAUUUCUGUCCUUUCUUAUUCCAAACAAAGUUUUGAUUCCAAAUUAUUCCAAAUCGUUUGUGCAUAAGUAGACGGAGAAAUUACCAACUAUAUCAAACAAAUUAUUCCACGAUACAAUAAAUUUGCUUACUUUGAAGUCAAAAUGAUUGAAAACAAUUUGGAAUAAUUUGAGGUUGAUUGAACAACUCCACAGAUUGUAAGCAUUAUCAAUCAAUUACCAAGUUCCAAUUAACAUAUUUUAUAUUGUGCUUACAAAAUUAGAUAAAACUCAUUGAUUGAGACAAUUUGAGCAAGAAACUAAUUAAUUGAUUGUGCAAGUGAUUAUAUGUUCCCUGUGUGAGUGGCAGGCUUUAUUUAGCUUUAUUAGAUUGAUGAAAUCAAUUGAAAUAGAUUUAGAUAGAUUAAUACCUUUGACGACGAGAUAUCGAUGCGGCCGCAGUUGUCCAGAAUCCAUGUCCGACUGUUUGCGAUUGGGGGCGAGCAAAAAUAAGAGAC